rnacentral:rRNA from 1 species
GACGAACGCUGGCGGCGUGCUUAACACAUGCAAGUCGAACGGAAAGGCCCUGCUUGCAGGGUGCUCGAGUGGCGAACGGGUGAGUAACACGUGGGUGAUCUGCCCCUUAUUUUGGGAUAAGCCUGGGAAACUGGGUCUAAUACUGGAUAGGACCAUGCUGUAGGUGGUGUGGUGGAAAGAUUAGUUUCGGUAAGGGAUGAGCUCGCGGCCUAUCAGCUUGUUGGUGGGGUAAUGGCCUACCAAGGCGUCGACGGGUAGCCGGCCUGAGAGGGUGGACGGCCACAUUGGGACUGAGAUACGGCCCAGAAUCCUACGGGAGGCAGCAGUGGGGAAUAUUGCACAAUGGGCGCAAGCCUGAUGCAGCGACGCCGCGUGGGGGAUGACGGCCUUCGGGUUGUAAACUCCUUUCAGCCAUGACGAAGCCCUUGUGGUGACGGUAGUGGUAGAAGAAGCACCGGCUAACUACGUG